rnacentral:rRNA from 1 species
AACCGGAGCUAAUACCGGAUAAUAUAUUGAACCGCAUGGUUCAAUAGUGAAAGACGGUUUUGCUGUCACUUAUAGAUGGAUCCGCGCCGCAUUAGCUAGUUGGUAAGGUAGCGGCUUACCAAGGCAACGAUGCGUAGCCGACCUGAGAGGGUGAUCGGCCACACUGGAACUGAGACACGGUCCAG